UCUCCUGGACUGAAGAAACAUCGCAUACCUGGUUGCUACAGCUUUGUAGAUGCCAGUUUGCAGAGAUUUCCAUGCUUGGUCAACAUUGUCUGGAUGAAGGUUGCACCUUUGUCCUGCUAUUUCCAGUGAGGAAGAGUCGACCCCCACCUCUUCAUAAUCCUUCUCGAGUGAGGCCAUGUCUUCCCGUGCAUCCUGGAACUCCCCUUCCUCCAGACCCUCCCCCACAUACCAGUGGACAAAGGCUCGCUUGGCAUACAUCUUGUCGAAUUUGAGGUUCAUGCGAGUCCAAGCCAAGGAAAUGGCAGUGGUGUUGCUCAGCAUACAGAGGGCCCGCUGCACCUUCGCUAGGUCACCCCCCGGUACCACAGUUGGGGGCUGAUAGUUAAUGCCAACCUAUAGUGUAAAAGGGAAUAAAAAAUAUGCCAGAUUCAACUGCA